rnacentral:rRNA from 1 species
CCUACGGGAGGCAGCAGUGGGGAAUAUUGCACAAUGGGGGAAACCCUGAUGCAGCGACGCCGCGUGAGUGAAGAAGUUCUUCGUUAUGUAAAGCCCUAUCAGCAGGGAAGAAAAUGCCGGUACCUGAGUAUGAAGCUCCGGCUAACUACGUGCCAGCAGCCGCGGUAAUACGUAGGGGGCAAGCGUUCUCCGGAUUUACUGGGUGUAAAGGGAGCGUAGGCGGCAGUGCAAGUCUGGAGUGAAAGGCGGGGGCUCAACCCCCGGACUGCUCUGGAAACUGUACGGCUUGAGUGCAGGAGAGGUAAGUGGAAUUCCAAGUGUAGCGGGGAAAUGCGUAGAUAUAAGGAGGAACACCAGUGGCGAAGGCGGCUUACUGGACUGUAACUGACGUUGAGGCUCGAAAGCGUGGGGAGCAAACAGGAUUAGAUACCCCAGUAGUC